GUGUAAAGGGUCAAAAAUAUAAGUAUCACCAUUAUUCAUGUGUAUUAGUCCAUAACUGCUGCUUACCCGAGUCACUGCAACUCCCAGAAUAUAGAGGAAAUAGAUUAAAAUGCACAAAUACCGGAAUAAUAAUGCAUUAUUCUAUAAGUGAAAGAUAACUGCAAAGGAUUAAUAUCCUAAUGCCUACAAAGCAAAGCUCCUACAGAGAACAAUUCUCUCUUUUCAUAAAUAACUCAAUGAUUCUCUAAGAUAUUCUUCCUCUCACCCCUCAGUCCCUAUAUAACUAACUCCCAUAAGUCGGGUACCAUACAAUCCUCACCCUCUAUACCACAUCAACAUUCCCUCUUAUAUUUUCCUGACAUAUAUCUCCCAACCGUGGGCUAGGAAAUAAGAGUCAUAUGAGCCCACAGUUGGGGUCCUAACAAUAACUUUAAGCUUAAUAGAGGAUAAGAUACUGGUUUCUUCCUAUUGUAUCAUAGACUUAACUACUAUGUCUUCUGCAUUAGAUAAGAUGAAACAAAAUUUAAAUUUUUUAUCAAUAAAAAUUGAAAAUAUUGUAUUUCAACCCUAGAAUUAUUUUCUGUCAUAUAACUAACUACAUGAUGAAUUUCGUAACUCUAGCAAUUCUAGAUGGACAUACUUGCAAACUAUUAUGUCUUCUGCAUGAAGUAUUUCAACCCUAGAAUUAUUUUCAGUGUUAACCAAUUUGAAGCCAUGGUAAAGUGUUUAGGUUGUAGAGCUCGCCAACAUGACUAAGCAUUCGUUUAGAUUGAUUUAUUUGAACUUAUCUACUGCUUUGAGUACUUGUUAGAUAUUUUAGAUAGUUUGUGGAAACAUACAUGUCCAUAAGUUGUUUUCAGUUUAUUUCUAUAACUUCUCCAAAAUAAUUUAUAAAUCAGCUAACAUGAUAAAGGCUUAUACAUGAACAUUCAUAUGAUAAGUGCUUAUGCUAUAAGUGCUUUUAAUUAAGGUGUACAUCCAAGGAAGAGAAAUAUGUUGCAAACAUAAGAUGCAAAUAAAGUAAAAUUGAUGAAAGUUCACUCACUUGAGUUCGUAAGGGAAGAGAAAGAUAUGAUCCAUUCGUCAAUUACCUAAUGAUCAUGCAAAUGGAUAACUAGUUAGAGAAAAUUGAUCAAAUAAUUGAAAAUUCAAAAGUAUUUAGCUAUAAACCAAGAACAUUUACAAUCGAACUUGACAAAAAAUUGAAAAUGAAAUGGUGAAUGGUAGAAAAAAGAUUCAUACAAGCAGAGCGCUCAACAUCCUUUUAGUUUCGCCACUGAAACUCGUCCCCUUUCAAUUCACUCCACUUCUACAUUCAUCUUCAACCAACAAAAGGAAUAGAGUUUCUCAAAAUUCAAAUACCAAAAAAACCUAAAAUGAAAAAAUUGUUGAAUCAAAGCGCAAAUGGAACCUGACACUGCGUUGGAGAAGCGUGUGGAGGAGAGGGCGUUCGUCGGAGAGUGAUUCAUUCGAGGUGAGUUCUGCUACGAGUCGUUAACUCGGGCAGACGUGGCUCCGUUUC
rnacentral:lncRNA from 1 species